AUUGAACGCUGGCGGAAUGCUUUACACAUGCAAGUCGAACGGCAGCACGGGUGCUUGCACCUGGUGGCGAGUGGCGAACGGGUGAGUAAUACAUCGGAACGUACCCUGACGUGGGGGAUAACGUAGCGAAAGUUACGCUAAUACCGCAUACGUCCUGAGGGAGAAAGCAGGGGAUCGUAAGACCUUGCGCGUUAGGAGCGGCCGAUGGCGGAUUAGCUAGUUGGUAGGGUAAAGGCCUACCAAGGCGACGAUCCGUAGCGGGUCUGAGAGGACGACCCGCCACACUGGAACUGAGACACGGUCCAGACUCCUACGGGAGGCAGCAGUGGGGAAUUUUGGACAAUGGGCGAAAGCCUGAUCCAGCCAUACCGCGUGCAGGAUGAAGGCCCUCGGGUUGUAAACUGCUUGUGUACAGAACGAAAAGGUUUCUACUAAUACUAGGAGCGCAUGACGGUACUGUAAGAAUAAGCACCGGCUAACUACGUGCCAGCCGCCGCGGUAA
rnacentral:rRNA from 1 species